AUUGAACGCUGGCGGCAGGCCUAACACAUGCAAGUCGAACGAGUGGCGGACGGGUGAGUAAUGUCUGGGAAACUGCCUGAUGGAGGGGGAUAACUACUGGGAACGGUAGCUAAUACCGCAUACCAUCGGAUGUGCCCCGAUGGGAUUAGCUCGUAGGUGGGGUAACGGCUCACCUAGGCGACGAUCCCUAGCUGGUCUGAGAGGAUGACCAGCCAGACUGGAACUGAGACACGGUCCAGACUCCGACGGGAGGCAGCAGUGGGGAAUAUUGCACAAGGGGGGAAAGCCUGAUGCAGCCAUGCCGCGUGUAUGAAGAAGGCCGUCGGGUUGUAAAGUACUGUCAGCGGGGAGGCGUUACCCGAAGAAGAAGCACCGGCUAACUCCGUGCCAGCAGCCGCGGUAAUAC
rnacentral:rRNA from 1 species